UACGUAGGGGGCAAGCGUUGUCCGGAAUCAUUGGGCGUAAAGAGCGUGUAGGCGGCCCGGCAAGUCCGCUGUAAAAGUCAAAGGCUCAACCUUUGAAUGUCAGUGGAUACUGCCGGGCUAGAGUCCGGAAGAGGCGAGUGGAACUCCUGGUGUAGCGGUGGAAUGCGCAGAUAUCAGGAAGAACACCAACGGCGAAGGCAGCUCGCUAGGACGGUACUGACGCUGAGACGCGAAAGCGUGGGGAGCGAACAGG
rnacentral:rRNA from 1 species